GAUGAACGCUGGCUACAGGCUUAACACAUGCAAGUCGAGGGACCGGCGCACGGGUGAGUAACACGUAUCCAACCUUCCCUUUACUCGGGGAUAGCCUUACGACAGAAAGAUUAAUACCCGAUAUAAAGGAUGGGGAUGCGUUCCAUUAGGUUGUUGGUGAGGGAACGGCUAACCAAGCCUUCGAUGGAUAGGGGUGAUGGGAGGAAGUGCCCCCAGAUUGGAACCGAGGCACGGUCCAAAAUCCUACGGGAGGCAACAGUGAGGAAUAUUGGGCACUGGGCGCUGGCCGACACAAGCCAAGUAGCGUGAAGGAUGAAGGCUUAGGGGUCGUAUAUUUCUUUUAUAUAAGAAUAUGUAUUAUAUGAAUAAGGAUCGGCUAACUCCGUGCCAGCAGCCGCGGUAAUAC
rnacentral:rRNA from 1 species